rnacentral:rRNA from 1 species
CCAACGGGGGGCAGCAGUGAGGAAUAUUGGUCAAUGGGCGCAAGCCUGAACCAGCCAUCCCGCGUGCAGGAAGACGGCCCUAUGGGUUGUAAACUGCUUUUCCAGGGGGAGAAUUUUUCUGUCGUGACAGGAAUUGACGGUACCCUGGGAAUAAGCAUCGGCUAACUCCGUGCCAGCAGCCGCGGUAAUACGGAGGAUGCGAGCGUUAUCCGGAUUUAUUGGGUUUAAAGGGUGCGUAGGCGGAUAGAUAAGUCAGUGGUGAAAACCUGGAGCUUAACUGUAGAAUGGCCGUUGAUACUGUCAGGCUGGAGUAUGGUCAAGGUAGGCGGAAUGUGUAAUGUAGCGGUGAAAUGCGUAGAUAUGACACAGAACACCGAUUGCGAAGGCAGCUUACUGGGCCAUUACUGACGCUGAUGCACGAAAGCGUGGGGAUCGAACA